rnacentral:rRNA from 1 species
UACGAAGGGGGCUAGCGUUGUUCGGAAUUACUGGGCGUAAAGCGAACGUAGGCGGUGUUCCAUGUCAGAGGUGAAAGCCUGGGGCUCAACUCCAGAAUUGCCUUUGAAACGGGGACGCUUGAGUCCGAGAGAGGGUGGCGGAAUUCCUAGUGUAGAGGUGAAAUUCGUAGAUAUUAGGAAGAACACCAGUGGCGAAGGCGGCCGCCUGGCUCGGUACUGACGCUCAGGUGCGAAAGCGUGGGGAGCAAACAGG